GAUGAAGAACGUAGCGAAAUGCGAUAAGUAGUGUGAAUUGCAGAAUUCAGUGAAUCAUCGAAUCUUUGAACGCACAUUGCGCCCUUUGGUAUUCCAAAGGGCAUGCCUGUUCGAGCGUCAUUUGUACCCUCAAGCUUUGCUUGGUGUUGGGCGUCUUGUCUCUAGCUUUGCUGGAGACUCGCCUUAAAGUAAUUGGCAGCCGGCCUACUGGUUUCGGAGCGCAGCACAAGUCGCACUCUCUAUCAGCAAAGGUCUAGCAUCCAUUAAGCCUUUUUUUCAACUUUUGACCUCGCAUCAGGUAGGGAUACCCGCUGAACUUAAGCAUAUCAAUAAGCGGAGGA
rnacentral:misc_RNA from 1 species